GAUGAACGCUGGCGGCGUGCCUAAUACAUGCAAGUCGAGCGAACGGACGAGAAGCUUGCUUCUCUGAUGUUAGCGGCGGACGGGUGAGUAACACGUGGAUAACCUACCUAUAAGACUGGGAUAACUUCGGGAAACCGGAGCUAAUACCGGAUAAUAUUUUGAACCGCAUGGUUCAAAAGUGAAAGACGGUCUUGCUGUCACUUAUAGAUGGAUCCGCGCUGCAUUAGCUAGUUGGUAAGGUAACGGCUUACCAAGGCAACGAUGCAUAGCCGACCUGAGAGGGUGAUCGGCCACACUGGAACUGAGACACGGUCCAGACUCCUACGGGAGGCAGCAGUAGGGAAUCUUCCGCAAUGGGCGAAAGCCUGACGAAGCAACGCCGCGUGAGUGAUGAAGGUCUUCGGAUCGUAAAACUCUGUUAUUAGGGAAGAACAUAUGUGUAAGUAACUGUGCACAUCUUGACGGUACCUAAUCAGAAAGCCACGGCUAACUACGUA
rnacentral:rRNA from 1 species